CUUGGUGUCACUGCUGAAGGCCGCCUCCCCCUCUAAGGGUUGGGAUAAUGAGGUGGAGCUGCUGCCCCCACAUACCCAGUAAGCCAUGGGGGCCACCCACAUGUUAUUGAGGGUCACCUGUGCCUGCACACCAUUGGGAGAGGCCCGGGGCCUGGUCUUGCCUCAGAACAACUUAAUGCCAUUCCUGCUUCAAAGACUCUGGGCUGAGGAAAACAAGGUCCAAAUCUGGUUCCUGGUACAGCCACCCAUAGCCUGACCGUCUCAUUGAGGGGAACUUCUAGUUGCAUGUCCUGCGAUAGUGUUCGAGUCACUGAAGGAGCUGCCAUCUGGAAGUACUCUAGACAUCUUCUUCAGAGGACAAAUGAAGAUUGUUCUCUGGCCUGUAGUUCUUUGUGUCAAACCUUUAUUGCAGACAUAACUCUACCAAACAUGUUUUUUUUUUUUUUAAACAACACCACAGAAUGCACAACCUUUCAUUCAGGAGACUGAGGAGCUGAAGUAAACGAGCAAAAAACACUGCUUGCACAAUCCACAAGGACUGUCAAGCUCACAAGGUUAUCCACUAUUGGAAGGUCUGAAGAGAAAGUGCGGCCAUAUUACUGCCACCUCCAAUCUUCUUCGGGCUGACCUUGAGCUUCAAAAUAGCUGACCAUGCGAUUUGAGUUUGCGUAGCAUGGCAAUAGCUUGUGGGGGAAAGCAGCCAGAGAAAAGAAGAGCAAGAAGAUGGAAUGAGGACCACCUGGGAUGCCUCCUGCUUCACAUGGAGCAAGCCAGGUCAAACGAAACAGCGAGGGCAGAAGAGGAGGUGAAGUCAGAAAACGGAGCUGCUGAAACAGGGAAAGCGUCGCCUCAAGAGUCCUGUCGAUUAUCUUUGUUGAAAGCCACCACAGGUGCAUCCAGACAGGACUGGAAGAGAGAGGUAUGGCUUGGCUGAACUCUUAACUUGAUUGCAGUUUCCCACAUGGUGGAGUCCACUUGGAUCACUUUUGAUGUGCCAUUACCUCCUCCGAAUGAACUCCAGAAUAAGCUUCUGAGUCGCCGUGACUGGAAUAUCAACCAAGCCUUUACAAGCACGGCAAUUUCUAUUAAGCCAGCAUACCUAGAUAUCAGACUUUUGCCAUUUUCAUUUAUGAAAAAUAAUACUCUUCCAUUAUAGAGGCUGAUGAGCUUAGAGAUAGUUUACUCUUAAACAGACGAGAAGCCAUAUUUAUUCUUCACAGCUGCUUUCUGUUUUCCUGCUAACAUAUAAUACACAGUAGCUCUACUCUGCAUAGCCUCACUGCGAAGGAUGCAGCUGAUGCUGAUAUUUACUGGGGUUUGUAGCCAAGACAGCUGCAUUUUUUUUCCUUUGUUUGAUUUGGAUGUUUAAGUCCAUUUGCCCUUUUCAUGGGCUAUGGAGAAUCACUGAUCACACAGCCAGGCUGAAUCCAAUUUUACCCGCUGAGUGUUUUGAAAAGCCCUUAGCUGAAAGCUGGCAAAUGGACAGACUUCUCAAAGGGUAAUGCUUUUCCAGAUCUUCAGGUUUAGCAUGGAUUUUCAAGGCCUGGUUUUCACAUUACCAUUUCAAGUAACGACAAUGUCUCCCAUGUCUCUCUUUGUGUUAAGGUAAUUAAAGAGAUAUAUAUAACAAACAUAUUUCACAUCUGAAUUAACACACACACACACUCCUAAUUUAUACAUAAUUCCAGUUUAUUACCACAAGAUGGUCUUGUGACAGCGAGCAUGAAUUGUCCAUUUUCCUAUGCAGGGCCUGCCUUGGUUUACAUUUGGAUGGGAGACGACAUGUGAGUGCUGUAAAAUAUUGCCCUUAAGGGAUGGGGCCAUAGCUCAGGGGAAGAACAUCUGAGGUCCCAGGUUCACUCCCUGGCAUAUCCAGGUAAGGCUGGGAGAGACUCCUGCCUGUAAUCUUGGAGAAGAAGCUGCCAGUCGGUGUAGACAAUACUGAACUAGAUAGAUCAAUGGGCUGACUCUGUAUAAGGCAGUUUCCUAUGUUCAGAAAAGCAGCUGUUGAUGUGUAUUUACCAUAUCAGCAACAACUGUUUUCUAUGUAUGAAGCUUGGCCACAUUAAGAAAAAAAAAGGAUCUGACAUCCUGACUAAUGCUGUGCUUGCACAAGGACAUUGCACCAGCACAAGGUUGCUGUACCAGCUGAUCGUGCUAAGUCUGAUGCUUGUGUACCAAGGCAAAGGCAAAAAUAAAUAAAUCUGAAAACAUAUUUGUGCAAUCUGUGGGAUGCCUCAAAUGUUUUGCAGGGAACUUUUGUGAAAUAGUGUGAGAGCACAAUUUUGAGCAUCAUCGUGAUACACAAUCUUCUUACACUAGUGCCACUGUCUUCAUUGCACAAGUGCAGUGUUAAGCCAGGAUAUUGGUCUGUGUCUACAGUUCAUGCUUCCAUGCCAACAAUGUCCAGGGAAUGAUUGUACUGGCUAUUGAAUAUUGCAAGAUUGGUAGUCCUGGGGUGAUUCACCUGACAUCUUCACUAAGGUUCUGAUUUCAGCCGGCACUAUUUCAGUGUGGCAGGAUAGACAGAAUAUAAAUUUAGGAGCUUAGUGUUGGGAAACAUUAAAUCAUUCUGCAGAACUAAUGAUAAAGGAACUUAGUAUAUAAAGCUAGGCUCUAAUCACAGAUCCACUUCACUAGAUGUGUGGACCAUUUCAUGCAUGAUGCAGUGGCAAACCCAGUUGGAUGCUUUCAAAAUUAUCUUAUCUAAAUUGUUCCCUGGAUUUUGGAAUUCUAAACUACCUGGUCUUGUUUCUGGAUUAGAACUGCUACAAUAGGAAUUCUCCACGGUUCCAUUUUUUCAUUUCCAAAUGUUACAUGAAGCACCAUGUGUGAGACUGUGCACAUGAUGGUAAGCUAAAUGUUACAGCCAGGGCUGUGAAGUACCCCACUGAGAUCCUGUUUUUAGAGGUAUCUGCACGGGAAGCAUAAAAUCUGUUUCCUGUUGCAAUCAUUGGGCAGUUGGAACUAUCCUAUCCCGGUUUCACAGAAGGGCCCAGAAACAGAAAGCAAAGCAGAUCUACAGGACCUCGGAGAGCUCCAAGGAAACACGUUGGUCCAACAAAGUCCCAACUCCAUCUGCACUUUUUAAUGUCUCCUGGCUCCAAUUGCUCCUCUCAGGCAUCACCUCUCUGUUGCAGAGUGAAGAUCCUUAGUCUACUGCAUAUUUAGCUUGAUGAUUCAUGAGCGUUCAUGGGCUAUAGAUUUAAUACUGCUAUGUUUGCAGAGCAGCUUCUCACAUCCAGCCUGUAUCACAUUUCUAAUGCCUGGACAGAGAGAUGCACUCCUCCACUAGAUGUAGAAUUGAGCAGAAAAAAGGAAUGACUGGCAGAAAGCACCUCAUUGUGCAAAUGCAUUGCUUCAUCAUUGCCUGUCACUUCUGUUCAAAGUCAAAUCUCUUAGUUAAACGUGGGGAGGGGAAUGGUUAGAGACAAUAGAGGCCUCUUGCAGGAUCACAGACAAAAGCUGUGUGUCAGCCCACCUCUCCAUACAAGCCGGAGGAGAUGAGAAAUUUGCAGGAGAGACCCUAUAAUUACAGUUCAAAUAAGAUUGUCACAUGGCACAUACAAUUAUCCAGAAAAAUCACAUCUAACUGCUUCUUGUGAAAUGUUAGGUCGGUUAUAACAAUGGACCGUAGUCUGCCUAUCAACUCUUGCAGUUCCUGCAGUCUAGUACCAUCGACUGUGGACAUGAUCACAGGGGAAACUGACUCAUAGAAAGUGCUCUUCCUCUUAUGCACCUCAGAUCUAUGAACUAAUGUCAGGGUUUGCCCAGACACUGACUGAAAAGACCGUAUCAGAGGAGCAGGAGGAGCCCACCUCAUCUUGGACACCUGAUUCCAAUAACCUAGAUACGCAGGAAGCUGCCAUUUCCUGAGUCAGACCAUUGGUCCAUCUAGCUCAGUAUUGCCUACACUGACUGGAAGUGGCUCUCCAAGGUUUCAGGCGGGAGUCUCUCUCAGCCCUACCUGGAGAUGCCAAGGAUUGAACCAGUGACCUUUUGUGAGCAAAGCAGAUGCUCUGCCCCUGAGCUACAGCUCCAUCCCCACCUUGGAUCCCUCAGGACUGGAGCUGAAACCCUCCAGAAGACCCUGGGGCAUUGCAGACUCAGCACCCCUUAGUGGGGCUUCUGCUUCUGCCUCUGACCCCACUCCAUUGCCCUCAAGUCUCCAGGGGUUGAGGAGCUGAUACACCAGGGCAUAGCUCCAGUUCCUUACGGGGGUGGGUGGGGCUUGUGACAUUGUGCAUUUUCCAGUACUGGUCGUUACAUAUGUUAUUUAUAUGUGUUUAAAUGUUAAUGUAUAGAACUGCAUGUUGAUGUAUGUGCAGGAGGUUGACUGACAGCAGUAGCAGAAGUUAGACCCCUGCAGGAGAGACAGGGAAAAAUUCUGCUCAGAAUGCAAGAGGAGACCAGAGCGUGAGAGUGAGAGAUCGGUGACAGAAAUUAGUUGGAGGACCGUUAGUCGGGGAGAAGGGGAGCCAGAGGCUUGGAGAGACAAGGGUUCCGAACAGGGGAGAUUUCUUUGGUGAAAAGAGAAGCAGGGCUAAGGUGGAGGCAGAGGUGAAUCUCUUCUUCACUGGGAAGCCACUGGCUGUUCAGAGGAAGACUCAAAAGUGCUCAGGAGCGAGGCUGAGCAGUAACCCCGGUAACCAAGCCAGGCGUCUCAGAGGGGGAAAAGAUGGUUAACACCUCUAUAAGGUAUAACACUUUGAAACCACUAUGCUUAAGGACACUUACACCUCUAGAACUUGUGACCAUCAUGCUUAAAGAACUUCCAUCAAGCAAUAAAUCCUGUUAUUUAGUUUUA